GUCCCUGUAGCACAAUGGACUUCUAAUAUGGCCCAAUUGGACUUGUAAUUGAAAGGUCGUGGGUUAGAAUCCCACCUGGGACG